CAAGGCUCCACCUCCGCCACGGCUCCCGUCCUCUUCCCAUUGGUUCCCUGCUCCCCCUCGGCCACUCUCUACACCGUCGGCUGCGCCGCCUUCAACUUCCAACCCAACACCAUCAGCUUUUCCUGGGCCGACUCCUCCAACCGAAGCGUCACAGCCUUGAAUUUCGGUUCUGUCAUCACCUCCGGUCGAGGUUAUCGGGCCACCAGUCGUCUCCAGAUGACCCAAACUGAAGGAAAAGAGAGGCAACCCUUCCGGUGCCGCGCCACUCAUCCCCAAGGCAACGCUGAGAUCACCGUCACAAAUUCCGAUCCCCUGCCUCCCACCCCUCUCCUCCUCACCAUCCACCCUCCAUCCCGAGAAGACUUCGAAGGUCCUUUCCGCAACGCUUCCGUCCUUUGCCAAACCCGCGGCCGCCGGCAACCCAAAGCGGUCACGUGGUACAAAAAUGGCGUCUCCAUCCCCGGCGGCGUCACCACCGUCGCCAAAGCCGGCACCGAAACGGUGGCCGAGAGUCGAGUCGAAGUCACCGAAGGCGAAUGGGAUUCUGGGGUCAUCUUCAGCUGCCUCGUGGAUGGGGAGAUGAGGAACACCAGCAAGAGGAUGGAGUGCGGGCUGGACCCCAUCGCUCAGCCUGACAUCACCGUCCUCGCCAUCCCUCCUUCCUUCGUGGAUAUUUUCAUUUCUGGGGAUAAAAAUCUGAGUUUCAGUCCCAUGAAACCCAACGUUUUUGGAAUAGCUCCCCACAUUCUACCACAAGGCUUCAUUUUUGGGGAAAAAUACCCCAAAAAUCUGAGUUUCAGUCCCAUGAAACCCAACUUUUUUGGAAUAGCUCCCCACAUUCUACCAUGAGCCUUGAGUUUGGGG